rnacentral:rRNA from 1 species
GGGGAAUCUUCCGCAAUGGGCGAAAGCCUGACGGAGCAACGCCGCGUGAGUGAUGAAGGCCUUCGGGUUGUAAAACUCUGUCUUCAGGGAAGAAACAAAUGACGGUACCUGAGGAGGAAGCCACGGCUAACUACGUGCCAGCAGCCGCGGUGAUACGUAGGUGGCAAGCGUUGUCCGGAAUUACUGGGCGUAAAGAGCGCGUAGGCGGGGAUUUAAGUCUGGAGUGAAAACUACCGGCUCAACCGGUAGCCUGCUCUUGAAACUGAAUUUCUUGAGGGUAUGAGAGGAAAGCGGAAUUCCCAGUGUAGCGGUGAAAUGCGUAGAUAUUGGGAGGAACACCAGUGGCGAAGGCGGCUUUCUGGCAUACAACUGACGCUGAGGCGCGAAAGCGUGGGGAGCAAACGGGAUUAGAUACCCCGGUAGUCCACGCCGUAAACGAUGGGUACUAGGUGUAGGAGGUAUCGACCCCUUCUGUGCCGUAGUUAACACAAUAAGUACCCCGCCUGGGGAGUACGGCCGCAAGGUUG